rnacentral:rRNA from 1 species
UACGUAGGUGGCAAGCGUUAUCCGGAAUUAUUGGGCGUAAAGCGCGCGCAGGCGGUUUCUUAAGUCUGAUGUGAAAGCCCACGGCUCAACCGUGGAGGGUCAUUGGAAACUGGGGAACUUGAGUGCAGAAGAGAAAAGCGGAAUUCCACGUGUAGCGGUGAAAUGCGUAGAUAUAUGGAAGAACAUCAAUAACGGCGAAGGCAGUUAACUAUUCUGUUACUGACGUUGAGGCACGAAAGCGUGGGGGGCAAAAAGG